AUUGAACACUGGCGGCAGGCCUAACACAUGCAAGUCGAGCGGAGCGGCGGACGGGUGAGUAAUGCCUAGUAAUCUGCCUGGUAGUGGGGGAUAACGUCCGGAAACGGGCGCUAAUACCGCAUACUAUCAGAUGAGCCUAGGUCGGAUUAGCUAGUUGGUGGGGUAAAGGCCUACCAAGGAGACGAUCCGUAACUGGCAUGAGAUGAUGAUCAGUCACACUGUAACUGAGACACGGGCCAGCAUCCUACGGUAGGCAGCAGUGGGUAAUAGUGGGCAAUGGGCGAAAGCCUGAUCCAUCCAGGCCGGGGGUGUGAAGAAGGUCUUCGGAUUGUAAAGCACUUUAAGUUGGGAGGCGUUACCAACAGAAUAAGCACCGGCUAACUUCGUGCCAGCAGCCGCGGUAAUUC
rnacentral:rRNA from 1 species